GAUAAGUAAUGUGAAUUGCAGAAUUCAGUGAAUCAUUGAAUCUUUGAACGCACCUUGCGCCUCUUGGUAUUCCGAGAGGCAUGCCUGUUUGAGUGUCAUGAAACAUCAAUCCCCGAGGGUUUUUCUUGAACCCUCGGUGGACUGGACCUGGGCGUCUGCCUGACAAGGCUCGCCUCAAAUGACUCAGUGGGAACUUCUUGACCUAUGCCUGACGUGAUAAGUUUCGUCUCGUCCGGUCUCGAGGCCCGCUCACAACAACCCAUAUCUUUUGACAUUGACCUCAAAUCAGGUAGGGCUACCCGCUGAACUUAAGCAUAUCAAUAAGCGGAGGAAAAGAAACUAACAAGGAUUCCCCUAGUAACGGCGAGUGAACAGGGAAGAGCUCAAAUUUGUAAUCGGGCGUCCCUUGGGCGUCCGAGUUGUAAUCUAUAGAAGCGUUUUCCGUGCUGGACCAUGUCCAAGUCCCUUGGAACAGGGUAUCAAAGAGGGUGACAAUCCCGUGCUUGACAUGACGACCAGUGCUCUGUGAUACGCUCUCUCCGAGUCGAGUUGUUUGGGAAUGCAGCUCAAAAUGGGUGGUGAGUUCCAUCUAAAGCUAAAUAUUGGCGAGAGACCGAUAGCGAACAAGUACCGUGAGGGAAAGAUGAAAAGCACUUUGGAAAGAGAGUUAAACAGUACGUGAAAUUGUUGAAAGGGAAACGAUUGAAGUCAGUCGUGUCCGAGGGGUUCAGCCGGUCAUGCCGGUGUAUUCCCCUCGGAUGGGUCAACGUCAGUUUGGACCGGUGGAAAAGGGCAGUUGGAAGGUGGCAGCUCCGGCUGUGUUAUAGCCUUCUGUCGCACACGCCGGUCUAGACUGAGGCAUGCAGCUCGCCCUCGUGGCGGGGUUCUCCCACAUCGAGCUAGGA
rnacentral:rRNA from 1 species